rnacentral:tRNA from 1 species
UGAUGCGUAGCUCAGUUGGUGAAGCGUAUGAGAACGAUACUCAUGCAUAUUCAAGUUCAAAUCUUGGCGCAUCAU